rnacentral:rRNA from 1 species
UACGUAGGGGUGCAAGCGUUAAUCGGAAUCACUGGGCGUAAAGGGUGCGUAGGCGGUGCAUUAGGUCUGUCGUGAAAUCCCCGGGCUCAACCUGGGAAUGGCGGUGGAAACCGGUGUACUAGAGUAUGGGAGAGGGUGGUGGAAUUCCAGGUGUAGCGGUGAAAUGCGUAGAGAUCUGGAGGAACAUCAGUGGCGAAGGCGGCCACCUGGCCCAAUACUGACGCUGAGGCACGAAAGCGUGGGGAGCAAACAGG